rnacentral:rRNA from 1 species
UACGGGGGGGGCAAGCGUUGUUCGGAAUUACUGGGCGUAAAGGGCUCGUAGGCGGCCAACUAAGUCAGACGUGAAAUCCCCAGGCUCAACCUGGGAACUGCGUCUGAUACUGGAUGGCUUGAAUCCGGGAGAGGGAUGCAGAAUUCCAGGUGUAGCGGUGAAAUGCGUAGAUAUCUGGAGGAACACCGGUGGCGAAGGCGGCGAUCUGGGAAGAUACUGACGCUGAGGUGCGAAAGCGUGGGAGCAAACAGG